UUAAGCGACUAAGCGUACACGGUGGAUGCCCUGGCAGUCAGAGGCGAUGAAGGACGUGCUAAUCUGCGAUAAGCGUCGGUAAGGUGAUAUGAACCGUUAUAACCGGCGAUUUCCGAAUGGGGAAACCCAGUGUGAUUCGUCACACUAUCAUUAACUGAAUCCAUAGGUUAAUGAGGCGAACCGGGGGAACUGAAACAUCUAAGUACCCCGAGGAAAAGAAAUCAACCGAGAUUCCCCCAGUAGCGGCGAGCGAACGGGGAGCAGCCCAGAGCCUGAAUCAGUGUGUGUGUUAGUGGAAGCGUCUGGAAAGGCGCGCGAUACAGGGUGACAGCCCCGUACACAAAAAUGCACAUGCUGUGAGCUCGAUGAGUAGGGCGGGACACGUGGUAUCCUGUCUGAAUAUGGGGGGACCAUCCUCCAAGGCUAAAUACUCCUGACUGACCGAUAGUGAACCAGUACCGUGAGGGAAAGGCGAAAAGAACCCCGGCGAGGGGAGUGAAAAAGAACCUGAAACCGUGUACGUACAAGCAGUGGGAGCACGCUUAGGCGUGUGACUGCGUACCUUUUGUAUAAUGGGUCAGCGACUUAUAUUCUGUAGCAAGGUUAACCGAAUAGGGGAGCCGAAGGGAAACCGAGUCUUAACUGGGCGUUAAGUUGCAGGGUAUAGACCCGAAACCCGGUGAUCUAGCCAUGGGCAGGUUGAAGGUUGGGUAACACUAACUGGAGGACCGAACCGACUAAUGUUGAAAAAUUAGCGGAUGACUUGUGGCUGGGGGUGAAAGGCCAAUCAAACCGGGAGAUAGCUGGUUCUCCCCGAAAGCUAUUUAGGUAGCGCCUCGUGAAUUCAUCUCCGGGGGUAGAGCACUGUUUCGGCAAGGGGGUCAUCCCGACUUACCAACCCGAUGCAAACUGCGAAUACCGGAGAAUGUUAUCACGGGAGACACACGGCGGGUGCUAACGUCCGUCGUGAAGAGGGAAACAACCCAGACCGCCAGCUAAGGUCCCAAAGUCAUGGUUAAGUGGGAAACGAUGUGGGAAGGCCCAGACAGCCAGGAUGUUGGCUUAGAAGCAGCCAUCAUUUAAAGAAAGCGUAAUAGCUCACUGGUCGAGUCGGCCUGCGCGGAAGAUGUAACGGGGCUAAACCAUGCACCGAAGCUGCGGCAGCGACACUAUGUGUUGUUGGGUAGGGGAGCGUUCUGUAAGCCUGUGAAGGUGUACUGUGAGGUAUGCUGGAGGUAUCAGAAGUGCGAAUGCUGACAUAAGUAACGAUAAAGCGGGUGAAAAGCCCGCUCGCCGGAAGACCAAGGGUUCCUGUCCAACGUUAAUCGGGGCAGGGUGAGUCGACCCCUAAGGCGAGGCCGAAAGGCGUAGUCGAUGGGAAACAGGUUAAUAUUCCUGUACUUGGUGUUACUGCGAAGGGGGGACGGAGAAGGCUAUGUUGGCCGGGCGACGGUUGUCCCGGUUUAAGCGUGUAGGCUGGUUUUCCAGGCAAAUCCGGAAAAUCAAGGCUGAGGCGUGAUGACGAGGCACUACGGUGCUGAAGCAACAAAUGCCCUGCUUCCAGGAAAAGCCUCUAAGCAUCAGGUAACAUCAAAUCGUACCCCAAACCGACACAGGUGGUCAGGUAGAGAAUACCAAGGCGCUUGAGAGAACUCGGGUGAAGGAACUAGGCAAAAUGGUGCCGUAACUUCGGGAGAAGGCACGCUGAUAUGUAGGUGAAGCGACUUGCUCGUGGAGCUGAAAUCAGUCGAAGAUACCAGCUGGCUGCAACUGUUUAUUAAAAACACAGCACUGUGCAAACACGAAAGUGGACGUAUACGGUGUGACGCCUGCCCGGUGCCGGAAGGUUAAUUGAUGGGGUUAGCGCAAGCGAAGCUCUUGAUCGAAGCCCCGGUAAACGGCGGCCGUAACUAUAACGGUCCUAAGGUAGCGAAAUUCCUUGUCGGGUAAGUUCCGACCUGCACGAAUGGCGUAAUGAUGGCCAGGCUGUCUCCACCCGAGACUCAGUGAAAUUGAACUCGCUGUGAAGAUGCAGUGUACCCGCGGCAAGACGGAAAGACCCCGUGAACCUUUACUAUAGCUUGACACUGAACAUUGAGCCUUGAUGUGUAGGAUAGGUGGGAGGCUUUGAAGUGUGGACGCCAGUCUGCAUGGAGCCGACCUUGAAAUACCACCCUUUAAUGUUUGAUGUUCUAACGUUGACCCGUAAUCCGGGUUGCGGACAGUGUCUGGUGGGUAGUUUGACUGGGGCGGUCUCCUCCUAAAGAGUAACGGAGGAGCACGAAGGUUGGCUAAUCCUGGUCGGACAUCAGGAGGUUAGUGCAAUGGCAUAAGCCAGCUUGACUGCGAGCGUGACGGCGCGAGCAGGUGCGAAAGCAGGUCAUAGUGAUCCGGUGGUUCUGAAUGGAAGGGCCAUCGCUCAACGGAUAAAAGGUACUCCGGGGAUAACAGGCUGAUACCGCCCAAGAGUUCAUAUCGACGGCGGUGUUUGGCACCUCGAUGUCGGCUCAUCACAUCCUGGGGCUGAAGUAGGUCCCAAGGGUAUGGCUGUUCGCCAUUUAAAGUGGUACGCGAGCUGGGUUUAGAACGUCGUGAGACAGUUCGGUCCCUAUCUGCCGUGGGCGCUGGAGAAUUGAGGGGGGCUGCUCCUAGUACGAGAGGACCGGAGUGGACGCAUCACUGGUGUUCGGGUUGUCAUGCCAAUGGCACUGCCCGGUAGCUAAAUGCGGAAGAGAUAAGUGCUGAAAGCAUCUAAGCACGAAACUUGCCCCGAGAUGAGUUCUCCCUGACUCCUUGAGAGUCCUGAAGGAACGUUGAAGACGACGACGUUGAUAGGCCGGGUGUGUAAGCGCAGCGAUGCGUUGAGCUAACCGGUACUAAUGAACCGUGAGGCUUAACCUU
rnacentral:rRNA from 1 species